AGGAAUGUGACUUAGUGGUGGAGCACUUGCCUACUAUGUAAACAGCCUGGGUUUGAUCCCCAGCAUCCCCC
rnacentral:tRNA from 1 species